rnacentral:rRNA from 1 species
CAAGGGUGUUCACCUCUUCCCAUACCGAACAGAGAAGUUAAGCCCCUUAUGGCCGAUGGUACUGCACCACAAUGCGGGAGAGUAGGUAGCUGCCAUAU